UACAGAGGGUGCGAGCGUUAAUCGGAAUUACUGGGCGUAAAGGGCUCGUAGGCGGCCAACUAAGUCAUACGUGAAAUCCCUCGGCUUAACCGGGGAACUGCGUCUGAUACUGGAUGGCUUGAGUUCGGGAGAGGGAUGCGGAAUUCCAGGUGUAGCGGUGAAAUGCGUAGAUAUCUGGAGGAACACCGGUGGCGAAGGCGGCAUCCUGGACCGAUACUGACGCUGAGGAGCGAAAGCCAGGGGAGCAAACGGG
rnacentral:rRNA from 1 species